UUCCUUUCCCCAGCCAGAGACAGGGAGGCCGCGGGCAAAUGACUCUCACCCUGGUCACUAAUGUGUAACCGGAGGUAUGGCCGAGACUCCUGCAGCUGCACCCGGUCCACAUGCAGCGCCGUUACAGAGACGGCGAAAUGUGUUCAUUUAUCAAGCGACGAAAAGAUUAUCAGCCGGACUGGAGACUUCGUUGUGUACCAUGCCCCUGAAUGGAGGGAUGUGUCUUCCUGGCCCCUCCCCUCCGGGCUCCGCAACGACUUCCGGUCACUGAGUAGUGGCGGCGGUAGUGAUGCUAGGGUAGCGGACUAGUGGGGAGUCGGCCGGGAAGAGUGCGGCACCGGCACCGGCACCGGCACCAGCAGGUUUCACAUUCAUUCCAUCACAUUUGUUAAAAUCAUACUAAGUUCAUUAUGGAGAUUUUCCUGGAGUAUUUAAGAAUGCGUGCUCGGAUACAGAUUGCUACAGCCCAAGGGUCAUCAGACUCACAAGUCGGAGAGCAGCAGCAGCGCCAACAGCGCCAACGCCAUCGAAGACGUAUGCGCAAGCCACGUACCUUUAGACCGCGACAGACUCUGGACGGUCUACAUGAGGAAGACAUCAUAAGACUCUACAAGUUGCCUUCGGCUGCUAUAUUGUCCCUUUACGAACUGGUCAAAGACGAGCUGGAGCCAAAGACACGUCGAAGUAAUGCCGUGCCUGGAAUAACCAAACUGUUGAGCACACUGCAUUUUCUGACCUCUGGGUCUUUUCAGCCGACUGUGGCAACUGAGUGUGGAUUUUCACAGCCAACAUUUUGCAGAUUUUUUUCCACAGUUAUACACGGCUUACUGAAACACGUCAAGAACUACAUUUACUUUCCACGUGAUCAGGGGGAGUGGCAGGAGGUGAAGCAAGCUUUUUUUGCCAUUGGAGACAUACCAAACGUUAUGGGUGCAAUAGGCUGCACACAUGUUGCGUUUACACCCACCCAUGAUAUGGAUAUGGUCUGUCGCAAUAGGAAGCACUUCCACUCUAUGAACAUGCAGGUGGUAUGUGAUGCCAACUAUAGAAUCCUUAACGUUUUUGCUGCAUAUCCAGGAUCCACUGACAACUCUUACGUACUCUGCAACUCUUCUGUUUUUCGUGACUUUGAGGAUUCCAAACUGCAAGGAGGAUGGUUGUUAGGUGAUUCUGGUUAUGGCUCGAGAUCUUGGCUUCUUACACCCAUAUCUAGACCUAGUAACCGAGCAGAACGUCGGUACAACAAGGCACACCUAGCCACGCUGCGUGUGAUCGAUCAGACUUUUGCCAUUCUGAAAAGCCGUUUCCGCUGCUUAGAUCGAUCAAGAGGCACUCUGCAGUACUCUGCGGUCAAAGUGUGUGAGAUUUUUACCGUCUGUUGCAUGUUGCACAAUAUAUGCGUUCAGCAUAACCUUCCAGUGUUGCAGGAUCCAAAUCUUCCUGAGGAUCCUAAAGCAUUGCCUGCCCGUGAUGGAACUUUCUUAGGUAGUCAGGUUCGUUCGAACCUUAUUGAGAAUAAUUUUUCAUGAGAGUAAUUUUGGCGCAAUGCAGCGAAAGCAGUACAUGGAAACCACCAUUUUGAAGACUUGCGAUUCCACACCUCAGGACGGCACCGCUGCAAAGAAAAGCGCCAACCACUUGUACAUAAGGAUAUGGAAAUUACAGAAGAUCUUUUCUGUGAGACAGUGCCUUGAAGCCACCUUGGAAGUACUUCCCACACCACAUCCUAAUACGCUGAAGAUAUUGUACUGCCAGGCUGUUGCAGUGAAUGGUUUGGACAGAGAGAGAAGGAUGAGGGAGAGGAGACCUACUCGGUCUUGCUAGACCAAGCAAUGGCUUUUGGAGAGGGACGCCAUGUCUCAUACACCGCUUCUACGUGAGCUUCGGGACAAUAAUCCUGAGGACUACAGGAAUUACCUGCGUAUGAAUGAUGAUAUGUUUCAAGAGCUGCUGCAACUGGUGACGCCUCUCAUUGUGAAGCAGGACACAGUUAUGCGCAGGGCCAUUUCUGCUGAGGAACGGCUGGUCGCUACCCUGCGCUAUCUUGCUACUGGGAGACCACUACAGGACCUAAAGUUCUCCACCCUGAUCUCCCCUCAGGCUUUGGGAGUGAUCAUUCCAGAGACCUGCAAGGCCUUAUACAGCGUCCUCCGAAAGGACUAUCUGAAGUUUCCCACUAAAGCAGAGGAGUGGAAAGUAAUUGCCCGGGACUUUGAGGAUUGCUGGAAUUUCCCAAAUUGCGGAGGUGCCAUAGACGGCAAGCAUGUCCGCAUCUCUCCUCCUACAAAAAGUGGAUCUCUAUAUUAUAACUAUAAAGGUUAUUUUAGCAUAGUCUUGAUGGCUAUAGUUAAUGCUAACUAUGAGUUCAUAUUUGUGGAUGUGGGGAAAAUGGAAGAGCAUCCGAUGGCGGAUCAAUCAAAGAUACUGUGUUUUAUGAGAGGCUGCUUUGCAACCAAUUAGACCUACCGAAAGCUGAGGACUGCAUGCAUGGCUUGAAUUAUGUGUUUGUGGCAGAUGAAGCCUUUGCUCUGCACGAGCACAUCAUGAAACCCUACCCACAAAGGAACUUAUCCAAGGAGAAAUGCAUUUUUAAUUAUCGGCUCUCAAGGGCCCGCCGCAUAGUUGAAAACGCAUUUGGGAUCUUGAGUAGUAGGUUCAGAAUUUUCCACUCUGCUAUUGGCCUAAGGGUGGAUAAAAUAGACUGGGUUGUGUUGGCCUGCUGUGUUCUACACAAUUAUCUAAGGCGUAAGACUGGCCCAAAAUGCCCCCCAUCUACUACUCCGGCUAACAACCCUGAUGUGGACUCUGCCAGGCUGUCUGCUCAGGCCGACAACUCUGAUGUGGACUGUGCCAGGUUGCCUGCUCAGGCCGACAACUCUGAUGUGGACUCUGCUAGGUUGCCUGGACUUGAAAGGCCACAGUCCACACCUAAUCCCACUUUAAAGGCUAGAAAGGUCAGGGACGACUAUCUGACCUUUUUUAAUGGAGAAGGUGCAGUGGAUUGGCAAGACUCCUACAUUUAACUGCUUUUAUGUUUGAUAGACAUUACAUAUGCUUGAUUGGUUUUAUAUUUUAUUGUAUUUUUAUUUAUUUAUUUAUUUCCAAAAUAAAAAUGUAUCUUGUUUUAAA